UAUUCUUCAUUUUUCGAAAUAUAUACCUGGUGGAAUAGACUUAACCUUUACUGGUGUAUACAUUGUGAUAUAAUUAAAUCGCUUUACCAUGAUACCAUCAUUGAUUGUUUUGAUGGCCAUUACGAAGUCCUGUUCAGUAAAAGCUGAUGCGAGUGAAUUACCAUACACUGUAAGUAAUGGGUCAUUGGAACACGUGAAUUCGUUCCUUUGUCCAUUUAACGAGAACAUUACAUUCACGAUUACAAAUCUAGAAUCAAACAAUGAGACAAUACUUGCGGAGUGCGAUAUGCUCACCAAAGUGUGCUCUCUCAUGUCGUGGAUUUCUGAAACACAAUUCACCGUCAAAUAUGCAAACCCAGGUGGAAUAUUGACCAUAAAUAAUCAUUCUGAAGAUAAAAAUGUCUGGUAUGCGUGUUACCACUCAUUUAAUACUACUGGCCAAAAAGAACUUCUAAGAUAUUCCAUGCAAAACGCAUUGAGAGGCAAUUACAACGCCAGUACAGACAACAUGGACCAGGAGGGAAGGACAUCAUUCCCAGGCGGACUAUCAUAUACGGGAACAGUUGUGGUUGUUUCGUUGACGUCAGUUCUGGUUGUUGCUUUCAUUGUGGGUACGGUUAUAAGGGCUUCCAUGGCCAGCUCCAAACGGUACAGGCAUGUCAGAAGUUGGAGGACUUAACAUCAUUUCAUCAUUCUACGGUUUAGUGGUUUAUAGUUUCUUCCACAUUCUAUCAAUUCUGUAUAACCUGUGUUAUUUAUCAACCUGUGUUUGUCAAAUGAUUGAAGUGCAGUUUUAUACACAUAUUUAAUGAGAUAACAAACACAUAAGCAAUGUUAUUGAGGUCAUCAAAAGGAUUUUCAAUGAGGAGUUCUAACAAGAGAGGAAUAUACAACAAAUUAAAGCUGAAGUCAACUUAAAAAUAAAUCGUCUAAAUGAUCAAUCUUAGACAUUUGAAACAACAGUGACAGUGUACGCAGACGUCAACUAGAACAGUGACCUGUUCUUAAAGACACGUCAGUACUUUGUGGGAUACCGAUUAAGUAAAACUCUCAAGGAAUUGUGUCAUCAGCACUCCGUUAGUGAACAUCUUUCAUGCUGAAUCACGUGUACUUGUUAAUAAAGAUAUGUACAUAUUAUGCUCAUGAUAUUUACUUAUUGUGAUUGUAUAAUAUAUGCAUGACUUGCUUGUGUUAAUCAAAGCGCCGACGUCACUGAAAGUUCAUAUGCAAAAUAAAGUGAAGUUUUUGUUGCGGUAAAUGUUUAAGGAACAGUUGACUGAAUAAAAGACUAAAGACUAUCAACAAAAACAGUUUUGUUUUAAGAAUAAGUACAAAUACAUGAAACAAGAAGUGAUAAUAUAUUGCCAACAUCCUAUAUCAAUCGGAAAAUCAGAAACACUUAUCCAGAAGCUUGGUAUUUUGCGAGAAAGUUAAGGUCCGAAUGAAAACAAAUUCUGAUUUUCUUGACGUUUAUUUAUGCUCGUGUUAUGGACGAUGAUAUUGAAUCUAUGACCAAAGUUAUGUUUUUUCUUUCCUUGUUUUGUUGGUUAUUACUCAUUUAUAAUCUGAUUCAUCUUCAUUUUAGCAGAAAGGAACAAUUCGUUGUUACUGUUGUGUUGCUGUUGUUGAUGCUAGAUUUACCGACCACGUUACAUUCGCAAAAUAUUACCUGCAUUCCUUAUUUUGAGGCACACGUUCUGAAUGUGUCACCCUUAUUUAAAUAAUUCAAAGAAAUUCAAUUAUUAUGCAGCAUUAUAUGCAGAUUCAUAUCAAAAUACGUAUUUGUUCCCCCAUCUCCGGCCGCCCUGAAUCGCAAGAGAAAUAUUUGCCGUCACAAAGUUUAACGAUAUUAUAACGUAACGAUACGAGAUAACCACGCGCGUAGUGAAAUAUAGUGCAGCUAUAUAUGGAACUAUCGGUUUGGUUUAUUAAACACGCUGUCAAUUGACAAUUAGGACAUUUAUUUAACGAGAAUUCAAUAAAUCUUUGAAGGAAAAUA